rnacentral:rRNA from 1 species
ACGAACGCUGGCGGCACGCUUAACACAUGCAAGUCGAACGAGAGAAGAGAAGCUUGCUUUUCUGAUCUAGUGGCGGACGGGUGAGUAACACGUGAGCAAUCUGCCUUUCAGAGGGGGAUACCGAUUGGAAACGAUCGUUAAUACCGCAUAACAUAAUUGAACCGCAUGAUUUGAUUAUCAAAGAUUUAUCGCUGAAAGAUGAGCUCGCGUCUGAUUAGCUAGUUGGUAAGGUAACGGCUUACCAAGGCGACGAUCAGUAGCCGGACUGAGAGGUUGAUCGGCCACAUUGGGACUGAGACACGGCCCAGACUCCUACGGGAGGCAGCAGUGGGGAAUAUUGCACAAUGGAGGAAACUCUGAUGCAGCGAUGCCGCGUGAGGGAAGAAGGUUUUAGGAUUGUAAACCUCUGUCUUCAGGGACGAAAAAAGACGGUACCUGAGGAGGAAGCUCCGGCUAACUACGUGCCAGCAGCCGCGGUAAUACGUAGGGAGCGAGCGUUGUCCGGAAUUACUGGGUGUAAAGGGAGCGUAGGCGGGAUCGCAAGUCAGAUGUGAAAACUAUGGGCUUAACCCAUAAACUGCAUUUGAAACUGUGGUUCUUGAGUGAAGUAGAGGUAAGCGGAAUUCCUAGUGUAGCGGUGAAAUGCGUAGAUAUUAGGAGGAACAUCAGUGGCGAAGGCGGCUUACUGGGCUUUAACUGACGCUGAGGCUCGAAAGCGUGGGGAGCAAACAGGAUUAGAUACCCUGGUAGUCCACGCCGUAAACGAUGAUUACUAGGUGUGGGGGGACUGACCCCUUCCGUGCCGCAGCAAACGCAAUAAGUAAGCCACCUGGGGAGUACGACCGCAAGGUUGAAACUCAAAGGAAUUGACGGGGGCCCGCACAAGCAGUGGAGUAUGUGGAUUAAUUCGAAGCAACGCGAAGAACCUUACCAAGUCUUGACAUCCUUCUGACCGGUACUUAACCGUACCUUCUCUUCGGAGCAGGAGUGACAGGUGGUGCAUGGUUGUCGUCAGCUCGUGUCGUGAGAUGUUGGGUUAAGUCCCGCAACGAGCGCAACCCUUACUGUUAGUUGCUACGCAAGAGCACUCUAGCAGGACUGCCGUUGACAAAACGGAGGAAGGUGGGGAUGACGUCAAAUCAUCAUGCCCCUUAUGACCUGGGCCUCACACGUACUACAAUGGCUGUCAACAGAGGGAAGCAAAGCCGCGAGGUGGAGCAAACCCCUAAAAGCAGUCUUAGUUCGGAUUGUAGGCUGCAACCCGCCUACAUGAAGUCGGAAUUGCUAGUAAUCGCAGAUCAGCAUGCUGCGGUGAAUACGUUCCCGGGCCUUGUACACACCGCCCGUCACACCAUGGGAGUGGGUUGCAAAAGAAGUAGGUAGCUUAACCUUCGGGAGGGCGCUUACCACUUUGUGAUUCAUGACUGGGGUG